GGAAAGGUGUCCGAGUGGUCGAAGGAGCACGCCUGGAAAGUGUGUAUACGGCAACGUAUCGAGGGUUCGAAUCCCUCCUUUUCCGCCA
rnacentral:tRNA from 1 species